UGGGGAAUAUUGGACAAUGGGGGAAACCCUGAUCCAGCGACGCCGCGUGUGUGAAGAAGGCCUGCGGGUUGUAAAGCACUUUCGGUGGGAACGAAAUAUGCCGGGCUAAUACCCCGGUAGGCUGACGUUACUCAAUGAAGAAGCACCGGCUAACUCUGUGCCAGCAGCCGCGGUAAUACAGAGGGUGCGAGCGUUAAUCGGAAUUACUGGGCGUAAAGCGCACGUAGGUGGCGACGUAAGUCGGGUGUGAAAUCCCCGGGCUCAACCUGGGAACCGCAUUCGAGACUGUGUUGCUGGAGUACGGAAGAGGAGGGCGGAAUUCCCGGUGUAGCGGUGAAAUGCGUAGAUAUCAAGAGGAACACCUGAGGUGAAGACGGGUUGCUGGGCUGACACUGACGCUGAGGCGCGAAAGCCAGGGGAGCAAACGGGAUUAGAUACCCCAGUAGUCCCUGAGCGGGCUGGCAAGGCGCAU
rnacentral:rRNA from 1 species